rnacentral:rRNA from 1 species
CCCUUUGCUGUUGCGAAUCACGUUGCUUCGGCGGGACCCCCCCCCUCCCCUUCUUCGAGAGAAGCGG